AGACAGCCGUGAUCAGAGCCCCGGAAUAGCAGCUUGCGUGCCUGUCCCCAUCUUAGAGAGACAUCUGACCCCUGGUCCCCUGUGGAGCCCCUGCCGGGACCAUUAACCCAUUGGCUGCUGGCACCACCCCCACCUCCGCCUCCCGCGCACCUGCAUCUGUCAAUCCGGGACUCUGGCCUUGUGGAUUCUGGUGUUUUGGAGGUACUGGAUCCCAUCCCCCAAGGAUACAAAGGGACAGCUGUACUUGGGACUGGCAUCUGAAGUGGAGGACACUCUUGUGGGACUGAGACCUUAGCCUGCAGGAUCGGGUACUGUCUCCAGGGAGAAAGCGUCACAAUGGAACAGGGUUGGAGGACGCCCAGCGGGUGUCCGCGGAGACUGGAUGGAACCGGGUUGGAGGACGCCCAGCGGGUGUCCGCGGAGACUGGAUGGAACAGGGUUGGAGGACACCCAGUGGGUGCCUGCGGAGACUCGCUGGAGCAGGGUUGGAGGAUGCCUAGUAGGUGUCCACUGGAGACUUGCUUGGUGUUUGGGGAAAAUCCCCACACACAUUUUGGUGACCAGAGAUGAAGUAUUCCAUGUUGGAUGUUGACUGUUGAGUGUGUGAGAGCAGGGAAAACACUGUUUUUUUUUCCUGUCUCAGACACCAGCCCAGCCCUGGAGUCAGCCGUGUCUCCCAGGAACCUGGUUCCUUGUGUUGGGGGAAUGGCAUCAGAGACCAAGACAUGGGGGCCAGGCACGCUUGUUGCUGCUGUGGUAUACAUUCACAAACGUUAACAAAUAUUUUUAUUUUUACUUAUUUAUUUAUUGAAGAUGGGGUCUCGCUCUGUUGCCCAGGCUGGAGUGCAGUGGCAUGAUCUCAGCUCACUGCAAUCUCCGCCUCCUGGGUUCAAGAGAUUCUCUUGCCUCAGCCUCCUGGGUAGCUGGAAUUACAGGCACGCAGCACCACACCCAGCUAAUUUUUCUAUUUGUAGUAGAGACAGAGUUUCACCAUGUUGGUCAGGCUGGUUUCAAUCUCCUGACCUCGUGAUUCACCUGCCUCGGCCUCCCAAAGUGCUGGGAUUACAGGCGUGAGCCACCACGCCCAGCUGGCUUUCUUUUUUUAAGUACAGAGUUUAAAUUUGUAAUGUUGUCACACAGUGGAAGUUCCCUGCUUUCAGUCCCUGAAUAGCAAAGGCUAUGCCUUGGCCAUCGCUGCUGGAAGAGACACGGCUCAGUGUUGGAUGAAUGUCCUGACUGUUUUCGCCCCAGAGAAUGAAAGGCGCCAACCGUCCUGGGAAAGGGCUCGUUUUGUCCCUGGUCCUGCAGGACAGCCUGGGGUCACCGUCACUGCGGAGCUACAGGCCAGCGUCCUCUUCGUGUCCUAGGGCUCGUUUUGUCCCUGGUCCUGCAGGACAGCAUGGCAGCGAUUGACCGAUUGACCAUUAGGUGAGCUGCGCCUCUUUCUCUUUCGGCACAAAUGUGGGAAGAAAGGGUUUAUUUGUCGGUGAAAUCCCUUUGGGCCCAACCCACAAGUGUCCUGUUCAGUGAGCCUGGUCCCCCCAGACACACACCACCAUCCGCCCUCAGGUCCCUUUCAGCCACCUCAGAGGAGCAAACAUCACGCCUGCCAGACUGCAGUGCUCAAGCCAGAGUUGGCCAAGAGCCAGCACCUCGCAUGUGGCUCCCCCAGCUCCCACAGCACGGCAGGGGUCCCAGCAAAGUCUCCCCAGACAGGGUGACAGCCAGGCCUCUUUCGGGCUCCCCAGCCCCCUCUCCCUCCCGAGCUCUGUCCUUGUGGGGAGUCCUGUCCAAGGCCCUGCCUGGAGGUCUGGCUCUGGAGGCCCCGAGAAGGAGGCCACCAGACUCCCCCGGACCCCUUCUCUCACCUCCAGCCCUCGGUCUCCACAUCUCUGACCUUGUCGUCUCCAUUGGCUGCUGGGACUCCAUGGAUUCCCUCCAGAGACCACAUAGGAGUGCUCCACAGGGGGAUCGUGGACAGGCCACUUGGCUCUGCCUGGGGUGGCAGACACCUGCCCACGGGCACCAGUCCUGUCUGGGUAUUCUCAGGCCCAGGGCAGCCCUGACUCAUUGGCACAGAGAGUCAGACCCCAGGACAUGUCCCCAAGGCACAGGGUCCUACGGUCCUGGCCACUCUGGGAAUGGAGCCGUGGCCGCAGGGCAGGUGUGAAGCUCAGGCUGACGUGGCCCCGUGUCCUCUGACCCUUAUGGUCACAUUGCCUCUCUGGGCCUGUUUCUUUGUAAACUGGAGUAUUUAUUUUAUUUUAUUUUAUUUUUUGAGUCAGAAUCUUGCUCUGUCACUCAGGCUGGAGUGCAAUGGUAUGAUCUCAGCUCACUGCAACCUCUGCCUCCUGGGUUCAAGCAAUUCUCAUGCCUCAGCCUCCCGAGUAGCUGGGACUACAGGCACCCGCCACCACACCCGGCUAAUUUUUUGGUAUUUUCAGUAGAGACGGGGUUUCACCGUGUUAGCCAGGAUGGUCUCGAUCUCCUGACCUCGUGAUCCACCCGCCUCGGCCUCCCAAGGUGCUGGGAUUACAGGCAUGAGCCAUUGCGCCCGGCCUUUUUUUUUUUUUUUUGGUAUUUUUAGUAGAGAUGGGGUUUCACCAUGUUGCCCAGGCUGGUCUCAACCUCCUGGCCUCAAGCAAUCCACCCACCUCGGCCUCCCAAAGUGCUGAGAUUACAGGCGUGAGCCACCGCGCCCGGCCUGUAAACUGGCGUUUAUAAUGAAACCCACCUCGUAGGGCUACAUACAAUUGGCAUGGAAUGCUUUGCUCAGAAAGCUCCACCCACAACCAUGCCCAAGGCUGGCAUUGGUGUGACCUUGGUAUUAUCAAAACUACAGAGAUUCAUGGGUACGUUUGUGUGUGUGUUUUGAGACAGAGUCUUGCUCUGUUGCCCAGGCUGGAGUGCAGUGGCACAAUCUCGGCUCACUGCAACCUCCACCUUCCAAGUUCAAGCAGUUCUCCUGCCGCAGCCUCCCAAGUAGCUGGGAUUACAGGUGUGUACCACCACACCCUGCUAAUUCUUGUAGUUUUAGUAGAGACAGGAUUUCACCAUGUUGGCCAGGCUGGUCUUGAACUUCUGACAUCAAGUGAUCCACCAGUCUCAGCCUCCCAAAGUGCUGGGAUUACAGGUGUGAGACACCGCACCUGGUCUGUUUUUUUUUUUUUUUUUUUGAGACAGGGUCUUGCUGUCACUCAGGCUGGAGUGCACUGGCGCGAUCACUGCUCCCUGCAGCUGUGACUUCCCAGGCUUAAGUGAUCCUCAUACCUCGGCCUCCUGAGUAGCUGGGACCAGAGGUGUACAUCACCACACCCAGCUAAUGUUUUAAUUUUUUUUUUAGAGACGGGGUCUCCCUUUGUUGCCCAGGCUGGUCUCAACCUCCUGGGCCAAAGCGAUCAUCUCACGCUGGCCUCCCAAAGUGCUGGGGUGACAGGCUAGAGCUUCAUGUUUUUGCCCCAGGAAUCCCACAUCUGGGGUUUAGUCCACAGACAUACUUGCCCUCAUGCAACGUGAUGACCACACGACAAGGCUAUGCACGUGCACCCUUUGCACCUGCGUGUGCCGCAGAGCCCUCCGCAGGCCCUGGACUGUCACACCUGCGGCAGCUCACUGCGCGCCCCGAAAUACAGUGUCAAGAGGAGGAGACACCAGUGUGUAGUGUGUAGCCAUCUGUGUAAAAGAAAAAAAUGCAUGUAUGUCAACGUGUGCACCUGUUUACCGGAAUUUUCACGAAAUGAUCUCUGGGAAUAUCCACAAGGUAACACUGUUUGCCCUUGGAAGCAGAGCCAGGGAACCUGAGCUGUGGGGGAAAUGGGCAUUCGCCCUCAUAUCUUCUGCAUCUUUUGAAUUUUGAACCAUGUGCAGGAAUGACCUAGUAGAAAGAAAUAAAAUGCAAAUGUUUAAGGAAUUGUCAGCUGGGUAGGAAGUGUUCUGGAUUGAUAAAGAGUUUUGAAACUAGGGAGUGGGCGUGGUGGCUCACAUCUGUAAUUCCAGCACUUUGGGAGGCUGAGGCGGGUGGAUCACCUGAGGUCAAGA
rnacentral:lncRNA from 1 species